rfam:Haematobacter massiliensis strain CCTG 47968 contig5_scaffold4, whole genome shotgun sequence.
CUUGGCUGUCCGCAUCGCUGGUUCCUGCCUUACGGCAGGCUAAGAGGGAAUGCGACAGGCUUCACCGCCCCAACGCAGCCGCCCCCGCGACCGUGACCGGAGAGGUCGCCCUUGAAGCCACUGGGAAACCGGGAAGGCGGGGCGACCGCCAGGGGAAACCCUGACAUCCGCAAGCCGGGAGACCUGCCGCGAUCUGCCGCCUCAA